GGUGCGAGAAAUGACGGCAUUUCCCUCUCCUGGGGGUGGGAGCUGUAGGUAUAGAUAGCUAGCGAGUAUGUAGGGGGUAUUGUAUAAGUAUUGUCCAGACCAGGAUAAUCAUUUAUAAUCGUAAAGUCCUGUACACUAAAUAUCUUUAAAGUGACAGAGAUACUCCAAGAAAUAGUUUAAACGUUACUGGAGACCAAGCUAUGAAGAGUUUUAUCAUCACAUCCUUCAUCUUUAUCACCGUUGCCGAGCGUGUAACAAGUAAUCCCUUACAGCCUUACUUGGUUCAUCCUCGCUGUGCUAAGGCGUGCUCUGAGAUGCUGAUUGCCAAGUAUCCCUUCCAAAAUCUAUGUUGUUUUUAUGCACGAUGGAAAACUUGUUUAAGGACCUAUACCACAUGUGAGUCACGUGACAUGUCACUUUGGAUUGACAUGGGCUGUAACAUGUGUAAGACCACACAUGCGAAGUGGGACAAAGGGAGAAAAUAUUUUCAGAAUAAAAAAUGGAAGAACUUACUUAGUAGAUCGAAAAAGUACAAUAAAGGACUGAAAUUCUGACA